rnacentral:rRNA from 1 species
GAUGAACGCUGGCGGCGUGCCUAAUACAUGCAAGUCGAGCGAACAGACGAGGAGCUUGCUCCUCUGACGUUAGCGGCGGACGGGUGAGUAACACGUGGAUAACCUACCUAUAAGACUGGGAUAACUUCGGGAAACCGGAGCUAAUACCGGAUAAUAUAUUGAACCGCAUGGUUCAAUAGUGAAAGACGGUUUUGCUGUCACUUAUAGAUGGAUCCGCGCCGCAUUAGCUAGUUGGUAAGGUAACGGCUUACCAAGGCAACGAUGCGUAGCCGACCUGAGAGGGGGAUCGGCCACACUGGAACGGAGACAGGGUCCAGACGCCUAAGAGAGGCAGCAGUAGGGAAUCUUCCGCAAUGGGCGAAAGCUUGACGGAGCAACGCCGCGUGAGUGAUGAAGGUCUUCGGAUCGUAAAACUCUGUUAUUAGGGAAGAACAAAUGUGUAAGUAACUAUGCACGUCUUGACGGUACCUAAUCAGAAAGCCACGGCUAACUACGUG